rnacentral:misc_RNA from 1 species
UUUCCCUAGGUGAACCUGCGGAAGGAUCAUUAUUGUAUAACCGAGGUGCGAGGGCUGUCGCUGACCCGAAAGGUCGUGCACGUCCGAGUGCCCUCACACACAUCCAUCUCACCCCUAUGUGCACCACCGCGUGGGUCCCCCUUUGGCUUGUUCGGAGGGGGGCUUACGUUUUCACACAAACUUUGUAUGCAGUGUAGAAUGUAUUUUUUGUUUUUGCGAUCACGCAAUCAAUACAACUUUCAACAACGGAUCUCUUGGCUCUC